rnacentral:piRNA from 1 species
UUGGUGCAUUUCCUUCCAACAACUGUUUGGA